UACUCCUACGGGAGGCAGCAGUGGGGGAUAUUGCACAAUGGAGGAAACUCUGAUGCAGCGACGCCGCGUGAGUGAAGAAGUAUUUCGGUAUGUAAAGCUCUAUCAGCAGGGAAGAUGAUGACGGUACCUGACUAAGAAGCCCCGGCUAACUACGUGCCAGCAGCCGCGGUAAUACGUAGGGGGCAAGCGUUAUCCGGAUUUACUGGGUGUAAAGGGAGCGCAGGCGGUUUGGCAAGUUGAGAGUGGAAGCAGGGGGCUCAACCCCCUGACUGCUCCCAAAACUGUUAAACUUGAGUAUGGGAGAGGCAGGCGGAAUUCCUAGUGUAGCGGUGAAAUGCUUAGAUAUUAGGAAGAACACCGGUGGCGAAGGCGGCCUGCUGGACCAAAACUGACGCUGAGGCUCGAAAGCGUGGGUAGCAAACAGGAUUAGAUACCCUGGUAGUCCACGCUGUAAACGAUGAAUACUAGGUGCUGGGAGGCAUAAGCCUUUCGGUGCCGUCGCAAACGCAUUAAGUAUUCCACCUGGGGAGUACGUUCGCAAGAAUGAAACUCAAAUGAAUUGACGGA
rnacentral:rRNA from 1 species